GCUGAGCUCAGGUUUCAGGGUGGGGGUGGGGGACUAAAGAUCGUCUGGUUUAAACUUUGAUCUUUCAAAAAGAUAGCCAAGUAAGCCAAUUCGGGCCUUGAGACGGUGUGGCCUGGAAUCCUAGCGAGUGCCUAAGGGGCCCAGUCUUUAGAAUUAAUGUUUUAGUCUGGACAAAUCCGCCCAGGGAUUUGUUCAUCCAGACAGGAGGCCUUUGGCAUUUGGGGAGAAAAGGUCAGACAGGGCACUGAUGGGAUUGUUAUUUAGGCAAGUGCUACACACCCGUCCUGAGCUAGUGGGACCCCGGGAGUUCCCCAGUAGAUCUUGCCAGGUGCAGAAAGUGCCACAGGAAAGGGGUGUCUGGGAGCAGGGCAGACACUCCUGUUUCUCCCUCUGUUCAUCUCUCCAGCAGAUGGCUUGUUUUUUUGCUAGUAUUCAAAUGAUCCGUAAACUGGGCCCUGCUGGUGGAAAGGUGAAUAUGCCAGGCCCUGGAGUAAUCUUUAAUCGUGGUAAGGGUUUUGUCUUUGACAACUGAAACUCCUACUUGGUGAUCCUUUUCCUUUUUCCUGUUUUGAGAGGCUCUGAUUGCCUAAUGGCCAAGUCAGGGCCAUUCUCCUAUUCCAGCAAAAGCAGAGAGGGGUGUCUCGGAGUGGGCAUCCCGGCUAGGGUGGAGCCGUCUUGGUCUGGAAAUCUGUGAUCUUGACCAUGUACAGCCCCACAGACUUGGGCUUGUUUCACGCAUACUCGGUCCCCGAGGGCUUCCUACUCUCUGAACCCAGGGUAAGAAGAUCCCUUUCAGAAGCAGAGUGAGUUUGGAGCACUGAGAGGAUUAGGGGCCUUCAUCUGCAUAAUUGAGUCCCCUCCCUCCAGAGGUUGGGUGCUCACCAGCCUGCCUGUCCUUCGCCGAGGCCACAGGGCUCCUCUCCAGGCCUGCACCUCACAGAGGCUCCGUGAGCACUGGAUGAGGGGGUGAAUGAAUCCCUGAGUCCAUCUGGGAAGUAACUCCAACCAGAAAUUUCAGGCUUGGAGUUGGAAGUUUGCCAGAAGGCAACUAACUGGUGGUGUUGAGUUAUCUAAACUUGCCCUUAGCCUCCUGUGAGUGGGUGUUGGCUCCCAAGCACUAGGAUGGUGUGGGGUACACAAUUUGGGUGGGUUGGCCGAGCACAGUGGCUCACACCUAUAAUCCUAGCACUUUGGGAGGCCAAGGUGGGUGGAUCACGAGGUAAGGAGUUCGAGACCAUCCUGGCCAACAUGGCGAAACCCUGUCUCCACUAAAAAUACAAAAAUUAGCUGGACAUGGUGGCACGUGCCUGUAAUCCCAGCUACUUGGGAGUUGGAGGCAGGAGAAUCACUUGAACCCGGGAGGCGGAGGUUGCAGUGGGCUGAGAUCACGCCACUGCCUUCCACCCUGGCUACAGAGCAAGACUCCGUCUCAAAAAAAUAAAUAAAUAAAUAAAAUAAAAUAAAAUAAAAAAUAAAAGCCAUUUGGGUGGGUUAAGAAAUCCCUCUGGAUUUGGGGUCUCUUUUUUUUUCCCUUGACAAUAUUCAGUCCAUCUCAGAUUCCUUGGAUGCAUGAGACAGACAACAUUAACAGUGUCUUGGGAGGAUUUAAAAAAAGAAAAACCUGACCAUGACCACAGAGAGAGAAAGAAGAGAAAGAAAAGAAAAGAGAAGAGAAAAGAAAAGAAGAGACCAAAACAGGAUUCUAUAGCCAAAGAGUAAUUAUAGGAUCGGGAGGAACCAGUAGACUGAAACCUCUGACUCAUAAUUGCUCCAUUAAAAAUGGUGAAACAUCUGCCCUGGCCGAGGAACAGGGCUACACUCUCACCCUGGCUCGCCCCACCUACAAGCCUUCCUGGGGCUGGCAUGAAGGGGUGGCUGUCUCCAGGAGCGGUGUGAGUAUGACGUCAAAGGACAAAGGGGCCCCUGCUGCUCUCAGGGGCAGAUCUGACUCCUGGCCCCAGAACAAGGGAGGAGCAGUUUGUCAUGCAGGGGGUGGGGGACCAGGGUGGGGCAGCACCAGGAAGGUGUGGGUUCAGUUUUCCAGGAAAGGCCUAGAUGGUCCUGAGUGCUCUCACUACACCAUGGGAAGAAGACUGAGGAGGACUCUGGGUACCAUGUCAACCUGCCCCAUGAAAGCUACUAAGGGGCUUAGCCUGAACCAACGACAGCCCUGUGUGAGCUACUUCACAUGGUUCCUCUCAUUUGAUCUACUCUAAGGAAGACACAAAACCAAGGGCAGUCCCAGGAGGCCCUUGGCAGAUUCCAGCAGCCACAGUGCAGCAGGCCCCAUGCUGAGCCACUGGGGCCAGGUACGGUGGCUCACACCUCUAAUCUCAACACUUUGGGAGGCCAAUGCGAGAGGACUGCUUGAGGUCAGGAGUUCAAUCCAGCCUGGGCAACAUGGUGAGAUCCUGUUUCAAUUUGGAAAAAAAACAAACAAAAAAAGAGACAGGGCAUGGUAGCUCACGCCUGUAAUUCCAGCACUUUGGGAGGCUGAGGCAGGCGGAUCACUUGAAGUCAGAAGUUUGAGACCAGCCUGGGCAAGAUUCAAGAUCCCAUCUUUAUUAAGAAUAA